GACGAACGCUGGCGGCGUGCUUAACACAUGCAAGCCGAACGGUAAGGCCCUUCGGGGUACACGAGUGGCGAACGGGUGAGUAACACGUGGGUGAUCUGCCCUGCACUUCGGGAUAAGCCUGGGAAACUGGGUCUAAUACCGGAUAGGACCCUGGGAUGCAUGUCCUGGGGUGGAAAGCUUUUGCGGUGUGGGAUGGGCCCGCGGCCUAUCAGCUUGUUGGUGGGGUGAUGGCCUACCAAGGCGACGACGGGUAGCCGGCCUGAGAGGGUGGCCGGCCACACUGGGACUGAGAUACGGCCCAGACUCCUACGGGAGGCAGCAGUGGGGAAUAUUGCACAAUGGGCGCAAGCCUGAUGCAGCGACGCCGCGUGAGGGAUGACGGCCUUCGGGUUGUAAACCUCUUUCAGCACCGACGAAGCGCAAGUGACGGUAGGUGCAGAAGAAGGACCGGCCAACUACGUGCCAGCAGCCGCCGUAA
rnacentral:rRNA from 1 species